rnacentral:rRNA from 1 species
UUUUUUUUUUUAGUAUAUGAAAUUUUACUUUGAGAAAAUUAGAGUGCUUAAAGCAGGCAUAUGCCUUGAAUACUCCAGCAUGGAAUAAUAUUAAAGAUUUUUAUCCUUUUUAUUGGUUCUAAGAUAAGAAUAAUGAUUAAUAGGGACAGUUGGGGGCAUUUGUAUUUAACAGUCAGAGGUGAAAUUCUUAGAUUUGUUAAAGACAAACUAAUGCG